AUUUAUGUGAUGACGAAGAAUAGUACUUUUGAAGCAUUGAACUUAAGCGAGUCUGGGAGGGUGUGAGCCAGAUGUCAAAUUCUUAAGGAACGGAACUUUCGAGCAUAUUUAACAAAGUGGUAAAAAGCUUGCUUUUUACAAAUAGGGUGGAACCGCGGGAAUAACUCUCGUCCCUAUG
rnacentral:ncRNA from 1 species